AUGAGACUAAGGAAGGUUCUGGUACACAAGAAUUGGCUCCUCUUACCAGCAGCCAAAAUGAUAGCGACAAGUCCUCGUUUUGCAACUAUUUAAUAGAAUAAAAAAAAAAAAAAUAGAUGUAUGUUGUUUGAUUUAAAAUUUUGAAGUUAUGAAUAUGAUUCAUUCAAUUCUACCAACAGAAGAUAUAGACUUCUUCAUUAGGUGAGUUCAUCAUAGGUUGAACGAAAAUCGGGUCAUCAUAGGGUUUUUCCUUUAAAAGUGUGUUUAAAAAUUAUACUUAGGCUUGAUUCUAAAGUAAUGUAAAUUUUUUUGAUAUAUCAAAAUGGAAAUAUGUAACUAUCAAAAUGUGUCAAAUACUAUUUUUAUUUUUAUGCAAUGGAAUAAGAGAUAUUCAUACUACUACAAUGCUGUAAAUAAUGAUAUGCAAUUACAUCAGUUACAACAUCAAGUAGUCACUUUGAUCCUCCAUCAUCGUCCGUGUGUCGCCUGCAGCAAGCAAAAGGUACAAACAUAACCAAAACAAAAAGGAUCAUAACAAAAACUAAGAACCCCUAAAGAAGCAAAUAAAAUGCCAUUGAUUUUAAACGUGCCCCAUACGACAUUAAACACAGACAAACAAUAUAAAAGAGAAAGACAUAACAUUGAGAUAAUCGGAACCCGAAAAGCCAAAGACCAAAUAAGUGCAUGCCUUGUAGGAAGAACGAGAAGUAAAAUAAAACUUUUGUGGUCUGUUAUAAGCAUGAAUUAGAUUCAAUAACGAGAGAAGGCAAGAAGGGGGGCCUAACUUACAGGCUUUCUUGGAAGAAACUGCUUAUUGUUUACGUUUCUAUGCCCUGUUCAGAAGUUGAAAUAGGGUCCAUGAUCAAACUAGAGGAACUAAUUAAGAUGAAAAUAAUGUAUCAUAUACUACUUCACAUAAACCAGUUUAACUAAUAAGUGCCGUGAAUAAGUUGCAUAGAAAUUUCAAACCUGAUACCUUGUCGUCGCGUGUGACUAGAGUUGGGAAGCAAAGAGGAAGUUGCUAACUACGGAAAUUUCAAAGAACUAUGGUGGUCGGUUGAAGUGGA
rnacentral:lncRNA from 1 species